rnacentral:rRNA from 1 species
AUACGGAGGGGGCAAGCGUUGUUCGGAAUUACUGGGCGUAAAGGGCGCGUAGGCGGAAUGUCAAGUCAGGGGUGAAAGGCCUGGGCUCAACCUGGGAAUUGCCUUUGAAACUGAUAGUCUAGAGGCCGGGAGAGGAUGGCGGAAUUCCCAGUGUAGAGGUGAAAUUCGUAGAUAUUGGGAAGAACACCGGUGGCGAAGGCGGCCAUCUGGCUCGGUACUGACGCUGAGGCGCGAAAGCGUGGGGAGCAAACAGGAUUAGAAACCCCAGUAGUCC